AUACAGAGGGUGCGAGCGUUAAUCGGAAUUACUGGGCGUAAAGCGCGCGUAGGCGGCUGAUUAAGUCAGAUAUGAAAUCCCAGGGCUCAACCUUGGAACUGCAUCUGAUACUGGUCAGCUAGAGUUUAGGAGAGGGAAGUAGAAUUUCAGGUGUAGCGGUGAAAUGCAUAGAUAUCUGAAGGAAUACCAGUGGCGAAGGCGGCUUCCUGGCCUAAAACUGACGCUGAGGUGCGAAAGCGUGGGUAGCAAACGGGAUUAGAAACCCCGGUAGUCC
rnacentral:rRNA from 1 species